CAAAGAACAAGAAGAAGAAGAG
rnacentral:sRNA from 1 species